rnacentral:tRNA from 1 species
GGAGUCGUGGCUCAGUGGUAGAGUACUUGUCUUGCAUACAUGAGGCUCUGGGUUUGAUCCUCAGCACCCCA